rnacentral:rRNA from 1 species
CCCUAAACGGCCGCGGCACUAAAACCGUGCAAAGGUAGCACAAUCACUUGUCCAUUAAAUGAGGACCCGUAUGAAAGGCAACAUGAGAGAAAACCUGUCUCCUAAGGCCCGCCAAUGAAAUUGUACUACCAGUACAAAAACUGAUAUCUCAAAGCAAGACAAAAAGACCCUGUGGAACUUUUAACAAAUUGUUUAAACACAUAAACAACAGUUUCAGUUGGGACAACUUUAGAAAAAAUAAACUUCUUAAUUUACCAAGACAAACAAGUCUAAGACAACACAGAUCCAGUAAUACUGAUUAACGAAACAAGCUACCCCAGGGAUAACAGCGCCACCUUCUCAAAGAGUCCAUAUCAACAAGAAGAUCUACGACCUCGAUGUUGGAUCAGGGUACCCAGACGGUGCAACAGCUGUCAAUGGUUCGUUUGUUCAACGAUUAAUACCCUACGUGAUCUGAGUUCAGA